CGCUAUCACUCCUACGGGGAGGCAGCAGUGGGGAAUAUUGCACAAUGGGGGAAACCCUGAUGCAGCCAUGCCGCGUGUGUGAAGAAGGCCUUCGGGUUGUAAAGCACUUUCAGUAGGGAGGAAGGUAGUGUAGUUAACACCUGCAUUAUUUGACGUUACCUACAGAAGAAGCACCGGCUAACUCCGUGCCAGCAGCCGCGGUAAUACGGAGGGUGCGAGCGUUAAUCGGAAUUACUGGGCGUAAAGCGCAUGCAGGCGGCCUGUUAAGUCAGAUGUGAAAGCCCGGGGCUUAACCUCGGAAUUGCAUUUGAAACUGGCAGGCUAGAGUCUUGUAGAGGGGGGUAGGAAUUUCAGGUGUAGCGGUGAAAUGCGUAGAGAUCUGAAGGAAUACCAGUGGCGAAGGCGGCCCCCUGGACAAAGACUGACGCUCAGAUGCGAAAGCGUGGGGAGCAAACAGGAUUAGAUACCCUGGUAG
rnacentral:rRNA from 1 species